rnacentral:lncRNA from 1 species
CUGCGGAUCAUCAUCGUAGCCCUACUGGGUAGAAGAUUAGGUGAUUUUGGUUUCCACUGCACAGCAGAGCGUGAAAUCAGAUGGAAUUUAACUUUGACAGAUAUUUACUCUCUCUUUAGUAAUAAAGAAUUAGUUUUGUAGGGUUUUUAUUUGACCCUUCUUAUAUUCCCUGAAUUCUACGUUUCCUCUGGGGUCAGUUUUUCUCUGUUUAGCUUUCUUCUUCAUACUGUAGGCUUUUCUCAAAUAUUUGGGCAUUCUCAGUUGUCUGGCUAUUCUUAAGAAUGAGACAGGAGAAAGACUGACUAGACACUCUAAGCACAGGAGUGGAACUUGCUGACCGGCAGGCUUCAAUUUAGGGUAAACAGCCAGAGAUCUGUUUGUUGUGCUGUGGCCCCUCAAAUGCCAGAAUGUAGAUGGCUUCGUGCUGGGGUACCAGUGAUGACUCUAGAUGCCCAAGUGUUCUCAGAAAGAUCCUUCAGUGUCUUUUAAAAAGUCCCUGUUGGUCAUUUUUUGGUUGGCUGCUUGGUUUUGCUCUUUUCUGUGGUCAAACUACCUAGUUGCCAGGGUUCUUGGCACCAGAGUUGAGGAGGUGUGUGGAGGACGACCAUUUCAUACACAGACCUUCACUGUCUUCUGUCUCCCCUUCAUCCAGGAACUUCUCUGAGUCCCCGACCUCUGCAAGGUUCUACCACAUAGGGAGGCACCCUCAUCUCCUGCGAGACUCUUCAAGCAUAUCCUGAGCUAUAGCUUCUUCUACUCAGUGCUCUUCCAUAUACUCUGUCUUCCAGAAAUUCAUUGAAAUCACUUAUCCUCUUGUUCUCUAAACCCUUUUGGUAUGUACCUUUUAUAUCCCAUUACUAUAAGUAUAAGUGAGUCUUAGAAGGGAUAGGAAAUAAAUAUGUAUGCUCAAAUCCCCAACAUGAACCAGUAGCAAGGGUAGGUAUUCUUCCCAUUUUACACAUGGAAAACAGAGGCUUAUGUGAUUAAGUGACUUGCCUAAGAUCACGUAGCUAGAAAGGGAAGGGCCAGGAUUAAACUUGUAUUCUUUUGACUCUGCUAAACUACUUCUUUUUGUCCAAACCAUGGCUCAGCUGGUAUGACCUGGAAAAAAAAGAAUUUACAUAAUACUAUGAGUUUUAAAUAUGCUGUCACUUGUGCAUAAAAAUGAUCAGAAACUGCCCAGACUAAAAACUGUGCAACAUCAUUUUACAAGUUGCAUACCUAGAUACAAUGAGAAAUCAUCAAAGUCAUAAAACAGCAAUUUUAUAUUGGGUGGGUCAGGUUGGAGUGGACCAGAACUGAGGAGAGAAAAUUGGUAGGAAAGGCUGGAUUAUCAUUUGGGUAACGGUGGCAAGGGCUUGGCACACUGAAUGCUCUCAGCUCUAUCAAAUCUACUUUAGAAGUCACAAUUGGGGAGCAAUUGCCCCAAAGAGGUGGUGCAGACUCCAGAGCAGUGGCAUGGAUGGAAGAGACUUGUUGGGAAGACAGGGCACCCCAUCCACUUGGAAGCCACUCUCUCAUAUACAUUUAAUAAUUGUUAAGUGACUGCCAUGUACAGACACUGCAAUAGACUCUAGAGACACUUUCACCUUCAGCCAGGGUGAUAUCUGCAAAAGAUGAAGAUCUCUUUGUUUCUGGAGACUUCUAGAAAUCAAAACCCUACAAUAUCUCAUAGGAACACAUCACAUUCAUAAUGGUUUAAGAUUUAAAGUAUUAGAAUUGUUCUAGUUCAACUGCAAAGGUAGUUUUGAGGGCUUUUGAAUAGCUAGUCAUUUAUUCCACAAAUCUUUAUUGAGCUUCUAGUUAAUGGCAGCCACUGGAGCUAGGACCUAGGGACACAAUGGUGAAGAAUACGAGAUUAUUUCUAAUGUUUACCACUUAGCCACCAAAGACAAUGCUGAGGCACCUAGUUUUCUCUUUCUCAGAGGCAGAGGCCAAGUUAUCUUCUAAGUAUGAAAUGUAGAGAUUGACUCUUGUUAGGGCCACAGAAAACUGGGGAGGUGGAUGGUGAACAUGCUAUUAGCUGGUAUUAGUUCACUGUGAUAUUAAUUUAGAUGCAUGAUAUCCUGGCGAAGAACAGAUCUUAACAGAAGAUCUUUCUGCUCACAGUGUUUUUCUCGAAUUUUCACCUUUCCUGUGGCUGUUUUGGUCUCAUUCUGACACUGUAGGAAAAUUCACGUGAAAUCUGGAACAAGUGAGCAUGUACCCUCUGUCCUCAAAGGUUGGGACACAAGCCUGUGAACUUGGAAAGAGAACAAAGCUUUCUAGUAUGAUAAACAAAGAAAAUGGAGAUUAAAAAGUCUGGUUUCCUCUUUUUUGCAUCAGCACAUACCAGCUGUCAGAUACCUCUGAAUAAUCUAUUUCUUCUGUUCCUGAAAGGUAGAUAUUAUUAUUACAGCAUUUCCAGAAGGAAGUAUAUUUUAAUUUUCAAUAAAAAUGGCCACAAAUGAAGUGGUAAUGCAAAGAACAGAAGAGAAACUUUUACAGCUAUAGUAUUUGCAUUUGUGACUUUUUCCGUCUAAUUCCACUUUCUCCACUGAUCCCUGAAACCUCGCCAGCAGGCUGACACCCUGAUAAACUCCAAAAGGAAGAAGGAAAACAGUCUGAAAGGCAGGGAGGGUGUGGUCGCUAGAGGGGUAUGGUGAACAAGAAGAAAAGUGCAGCUACUCCAGUGCAUGCAGAUAAGGCGUGAGGUUCAAGGGCUGAAAGGAAGCACACAGAUUGCAGCGUGCCCACUUGGUACUGGUGACAGACUUCCAACGGAGGAGCCCCACCUUCGGGUUCUUUUGUUUAGGCCUGACUUCCAAACAAAGCAAGCUGGACGACCAGUCCUAACAUCAAGCAGCAGAAAGCUUCCUUCCUUUGGAAAAUCUAGUAAAGGCAUCUCUCUAAGCCCUCUUAUUGCAAAAACGGCCUGCUUUCUCCUGAAGUUUCUGCUGUUAGAGAAGACUUGCGAAGGCUGUGAUAGCAGAGUGCAAAGAGGUAGGCAUUUAGGAUAAAAACAUGAGUGCACGUCCAUCCAACCCCUCAGGGCUAAUUCCCCUCCCUGAGCCUCAAAUUCUUCACUGUAUAAUGUGGUCGGGAGGUUGAAUCAGAAAACAAAAGUGGUUCUAAAUUUCUAAAAGACUUCUUUUCUCUAUUUCCCUCUUUACCUCUUUCUUCCAAUUAAAAAAGCUUAAGCUGUAAAAUCAUAAUCCAGUCUACCUACUUUCCACAUUUUUUUCUGAGUGUGCUGUGGAGUCGACUCUGACUCCUAGUGAGCCUACCCAGUCUUUAUUGGCUCCAUCCUUUCACCUUCCAGCUCUGUAUUUGACAAUGCUCCACUGCCCUUCACAGGGCUUUCACAAUCAACUUUUUUCAGAAGCGGCUGGCCAGGUCCUUCUUCCUAGUCUGUCUUAGUCUGGAAGCUCUGCUGAAACCUGUCCACCAUGGGUGACCCUGCUGGUGUUUGAAAACCGGCGGCAUAGCUUUCAGCAUCCCAGCAACAUGCAGCUGCCACAGUAAGAUAACUGACAGACAAGUGGCGUGGUUCCCUGACCUGGAAACGAACCCCAGACUGCAGGGUGAGAGCGCUGAAUCUUAACCACUAGAUCACCGGGCUGGCUGCUUCCCAUAUACCCGAGAUUAAUUUAAGCACAUUCUGAGUAACAUGAUAAAGUUAUCUUUAGAAACAUACACACACCAGUUUCAGAAUGGCACCCCCUGGGGUCCCUGCUGCCAAUUUGGUCCAGGAACACAAAGUCAGCAUCUUGAUGUCAGGCAGUGUCCUGGCCAACACCCACUACCCACUGCAGUUGGUGCUUUCUCAGAAGACAACACCUUGCUUUCAAAACUGUCUACUUUUUUGCUCAAAACAAUGAUGGAUGGAUGGAUAGGUCUUCAUUUGACUCACUACCUGAAAAAUCAGCUUCUCAUGUGAUUUCCCCAAAGCAGAAUUAACUCACAUAAUUUUGUGUCACAUACCAGGGCUCUUCCUUGCAUAAAAAACAGUAAGAUAUCACCAAACUCUGGCCUGAAAGUUCUUCUAGGAUAUCUUGUGGUAUCACCAUUCCUAGGUGCAUGGUAGUCAUAAGUGACUUCAUCAGCCAAAUAUGAAACUGGUUCGAUACUGCCCCUGUAGGAGUCAAAUUCUUAUGCAUUUACAACUUAAUAAAUUACCAUUCAGGGUUGUAUUAGCAAGUUUGCUUUGUUCCAGCCCUUUUAUAGUUGAGACUCCCAGAUUUCUGUUUCAGGUUGGAAUUGGCAAAUGAACUUUUCAAAGCAUUUCAUCCUCACAAGUCACAUCUUGUCAUCUUUCAUAUCCACAUGAGACACCAAGCCCUAUUUCACUCUUGUUUAAAUUUUAUUAUCAUUGUUAUUAGGAAUAAACCAAUAGAAAUAGGAUUACAAAGGGAAAGGUUCAGGAUGAAUAACUUCUUCCUUAUAAAUUCAAACACAGGUGCACACACACAUGCUGGUCUGUGUGAGUUACUUCCUCCCCACAUUCUGUCCUCCUGCACAAACAGUUAUACAAAACAGUCCGCACAACAAUGUGAGCAGCUGGUACCACAACCUGAGCAAAGGACCCCAGUUGUGUCAAGUCUCAGGCUGACUCUUGGUCGAGAUGACCAGCUUCUCCACGCUAAGAGUACUUGUGGUUUCAUCCUCUUCAUUUGACCCAAAAUAUCCCGGGAGGUCCAGCAUCCUCUGCUCGGCUUCAGUGAGGCCGAAUGAUGUAUUGUCGUAGAAGGCGAACUCGGGGUGCGCGGGAAGCUCUGGCACUUGUCUUUCCGACAUUGAGAAGGGCUCAGAGGACUGACCCUCUGGUAGCUAUCUUUGGGGGCAGUGGGGAGGGCUGCUUCCUUGAGACACUCCUGUGACUGGGGGACGGUCCCCGCCGAGCUCUGUGAGGCUCUGUUCUCUCGCCUCCUGCCACCAAUCCCGCCUGACGAUCCCCUAGGUCUGGCUUCCUGGUGGGCUGCCCCAAGGUGUAGGAUUUAGGGAGGGGGCUUAGUGGACCAGCGGUUCCACCUGCCCCUUGGAAAUGGUCCAGUUUCUCAGGAAGCGCGGCAGCACCCCGACUCUGAGGCCUGAACCUGUCUUCUGCCUGGUCCCAGGUCCGCGUCCUAGAACUGUAGGCGGGGCCUGCCGUGGGGUCAGGGUGACAUGCUCCUCUCCCUGAAGGGCCGCGCCUGCUUGGUCUCGUGGAAACUGGCUGUCCUCCGGAAGUGGGAACUCCUGGGGUGGCUCCGCUCCGACAGCCCCCCUCUGCUGCCCACGUGCCUCAUCUGGGAUUUGCGGAUCACGGUCUGGCUGGGGCUCACGGCACAAGUGGCCUGCGAGACCCCGACAUCCAGCCUGGAGGGAGGCCUCUCCCCGGCGCUGACCGCGGGCUGGUCCAGAAACGGGGAUUUGAUCCUGAACUUGUUUGCGGCAGCUUCUUCCGGGUUCUCCAAGUCUAAGAGGGCGACGGCGGCGGCGGCGGCGUCGAUGGCCGUGUCUGUCAGGGGGCUCUGAGACACGUGGUACACCUUGGUGGUUUCUGUCAGGCCUUUCUUUUUCAUCUCCUUCAGCUGCUGCUGGGCAAGGCGGUAGCUGAACAGCGGUGGGAUUAUCUUCUGCGCGUUGGACUGGAAGCUGUCACUGCCGGAAGCGUCGUCCUCGGGAGUGGCCGGCACGCUGCGCCUGUAGGUCAGAGGGAUGCCCAUGUCCCCCGGGCCCCCCACAGGCCCGUCACCCCCAUCCGAGAAGCUCCCGCGCUGCUGGCUCAGCUCGCAGAUGUUCUCCUCAUCUGAGUUCUUCCGGAAGCUGGGCGAGUGGAGGGAGUUGUGCCGAGCGGGGUGCUGCACUUGGGGGGCGGCCGAACUUCCUCCACAGCGUGAUGAGGACGGUGGCCACGAUGAUGAACAAGCACAGCGAAAUCCCAGUGACCGUCACGAUGUUGUUGGACUUCACCGGGCCCUGCGGCUGAAGAGGAGACGGGCUGGAUGGCCGGAAAGCUACAAAAAAGGAGCUGAAGGAGAAGAGGAAGACACCUGGGUUUCUGGUUUGAACAAUGAGAUGGGUGGUGGAGUCCAGCACUGAGGAGCAAGAUUAGGGGGUAAGAUGAUGAAUCCAAUUCCAGGUACAUUGCUUUUGAGGUGCCUGGGAGCCAUCUUAGGGGUGACAGCUAUUCAGCAGCUCUUGGAUGCAGGGGAGAGGCGCCAAUCUGGAGUCGUCGGCCAGGACAGUAAUCACUUAGGAAGUGUGUGAGGAGUAAAACAAUGCAGAAGUCCAACACUGAAGGGAUGAGAGGAGCCAGUCGAAUGGUCGCUUCCCCAGGGCGUCUGGGGCUUCCUUGAAGACGGCGACCACUCCUUGAACAAGAUGCAUGUGGGGCAGCACCAUCACCUCCACCCCAGACUCACAUGUGAGUUCCGGCACCAUCACUAGUUUGUAUCCAAAUUUCUGGGCCAGGUCAAUGGGUCCUGUGGAGGUAAUGACCGAGUCUCGGCCAAGCAGCUUCAGCACCACAGUGACAUAGGCUUCAGGCCCCACAGGUGCACAGCCAAACUCAACCCAUUGGCCUUGAGAGAGUUCUGUCCUCUUGCUAGUUCUUAUCUCCAGUGGCUGUCCCUGACUCUUUCUUGCCUCGGGAAGACUGUUGGUGAAGAUGACAUCCACCAAGAUGUUGGGCUUGUCCACAGGGAACGGGCACAGUGGCUGAUUGGUAAAAAGGCCCACCUGGAAGGUACCUUCUGCUGCCUUGGAUGUCCUAUUUAAGUCAACGUGAAAGACAGGCCAUUCCACCUUGGGAAAGGCACUUUUCUCCCACGAGGGGACGGGAGUGCUGUUGUCUGCUGCUUCCGGAGUCAUCGUGAACCAGUAGUUGCCAGCCUCUUUGAAGUAGAAGCACUCAAACUCGAGCGUCCCCUGGGACUGGUUGGUCAGAAGGUACUUGGUGGUAACAGUCUGGUUGGUGUCAGCCUCCAACGACAGGACAGAUACAUUCCUCAGCGUCCCAUUAGCACCAUCGAAAUAAUGGAAAUCCACAGACACCGUGUGGUUGCUUAGCGCUACAUGGCCUGGCUCUCCCAAGAGGAGGUAUUCAGCUUCUCCAAGAACUGAAAUGAAAUGGUCAGAAAGGGCUUUAAAAAGGUGUUUUGAGCAGGACUAUUGGUGCCAUUGAAGAAAACAGCAUUUUAGACACAAGAGAAGUCUGAACUGAGCCAAGGAUGAUGUAAAAUGAUGCCGAGUGCUUAUCCUGGGAGCUGGGCACUGUGCUGCUCCCAUUCUAAAGGGGCUUGUUCCUACAUUUCAUCUUUCAUGGUUAUGUUUAAAGUAACUAAUCAGCGAUAAAUACUCUGAACUCACAACAUUGAAUAAUGUAAUAUAUUUGCAAUGAAAAUCUACAGUGCAAGAGUAACAACUCUCAACAUAAAAAUCCAACACCUCACUUUUCUCACUGUAAUCAAAUUCUGGUGUUUAAGUAUUUGGGGAAAAUGGAUUUACAGUGAAGUGAAAGAAAGCUUGGUUUAAAUUAUAUAAUAUAAACUGCUCUAGACUAUUUAAAAUGUAAGAUCCUAAAUAUACUUCAAAGUUAUUAUUUUCUGAUAUUCAAGACAAGUACUUGGGCAUUUUCACCAGUAAAGGAACCAGUGCCCUUGGUUUGUAUGAGGCAGAAGUGUUUAAAGGAAUAAGAAAUGUUGACACUAUUCUCCAAGGAUCAUCCAAGGGGUGGAUAACAUUAUCCACAGCCAUUUAUGAAGUAGCCUGGCUUGUCCUUGGCAAUUUUAAUGACAUUACAGUAAGUGCUAUUGGCCUAGAGAGGAGAGAUGACUGCUAGCCCACAAGUAUCACUCAGUUAGGAUCAAUCACACCUUUUUAAAAAAGACCUAUCUGAGCAGCUGAAGUAGAGGGUGGAAAAAACAAACACACAAGAAUCCUUGUUUGUAUUUUGAAUCCUAUCCAAAUACAUAUCAAAGGAGACAGAAUCUGGCAAAGCAAUAAUCAGCUGGCCCAUGGCUGCGGUAAGAAAUAAUUCUAGACUUAAGGGGCUGCAGUAUCCUUUUGGUGGAAAAACAACAUAUGUAUGAAUUUAUUAGUCUUAAUAUGUAUACAUAAUAUAAUACAAUAUAUUAUAUUAACAUAAUAAUAAUAACAUACACAUCCUAUAUGUCCAAAAGACUCAAUGUGUUCAAUGUGUUGUUUGGGUUGGUAGUCUUUAAAUAUACCUUACAUGUAUUCAAUCAAUGAUUGUUAGAAUCAGCACAUGAAUAUAUGGGCACAUAAAGGUUUGGGUUUGUUUUUUUUAAUUAGUUCAGCAUUUUACCCAUUUCUUAUUUAAGAUGAGGUGAAAUAAAAUACAUAAAACUUGGACAGACCUGAAUGCUUGAUCACCACUUGCUUGGAAACCGUAAUACGAUAAAGCUCUUUUUUUUCACUUACUCAGUACAGAAGUUGAGGGAUACUCCCCUUUGGAUGGAGAUGACUCAAGUUUGAGGAAGGAAGCUGAUUUUGGAGCAGCUUGGAUACUGGUUCAGAGCCCACCUGGUAGCUUUUUGGGAAUGGGUGGCUAAAGAGACUGCAGUGCUCACCACAGCCCAAGGAAGGAGCUAAGACUGAGAACACAGGUCAGAUUAAUUUGAAUCUGAUGGGGCAGGAUGGUUCUGAGAUGCAUUUUAAGAUCGAGAGGCAUACACCCCUUAGUUAACUAAUGAAAGCCUACUGUCAAGGACAGAGAUUGGCAAUGAGGCAGAUCAGAUUUUGAUUUGAUGGGCAGCCAGCUAAAGAAAGAGACACACGUGCUCACUUGGAAAUGGAGAAAAAAGAUACAGUUGAUGGGUACCAGCAGUGGCAAAGAGAGAACUUGCUACUUUACUCUAAAACCUUUGUUUUUACAAAGAAGAAUACAUUCUCAUUUGGAAAACUACAGUUUGGUUGUAUCAUAUCCUGACUACUACAGUACAGUCUUGACUCUCUUAACAAUGGGGAUAUGUUCUGAGAAAUGUGUUAGGCGAUUUCAUCAUUGUGUGAACAUCAUAGAGUGUACUUACACAAACCUAGAUGGCAUGGCUUACCACACACUAGGCUAUAUAGUACUAACAUUACAGGAACGCUGUCGUAUAUGUGGUCCAUUGUUGACUGAAACCUCGUUAUGGAUUGCAUGAUUGUAGAGUGUUCUCUAUUCUCUCAUUUCUUCUCUCUCCAUUCCUUUAUUGUAUUUAAAGUAACUCAUGUCUCAAUAUAAGCAUGUUUUUUUUUUUAAAAAAAAACUAACUGGUAGCGACAUAUUUAAUCAACAUCAAGUGAUAUUGAUAGAGAAGAAGGGAAAAAAUCCAGCUCUAUGAAAAUAUCUCCUUUUCCCUCAGUAGCUUGUGCACUCAACUUCUAUGUUCUGCUCUAUUUUACGCUCAUUCAACUUUUAGUUUUACAUUCCAGUAAGAUAUUUUGAUCUCAACAAUGACAAACAUCCUAGCAGAUUUUAUUUAAAUAGAAGACUUUGAUGUCUUUAUUUACCAUUUCAAAACCAAGAACACUUUUAUAAUUUUUUGUAUGAGGCUGUUACACAUAGAACAAUCUGUUUUUAAGUAGGGAUCAACGAUUCUAAAAGAAAUGAAUCCCAGAUUGGUUUUCAGUAAAUCAAGCAUCUUCUUGUUUAACUAAACUUCUUAAGAAGAAAAGACUAGGGAAGGAGAUUCCCCGGACACAAUGAACAAUAUACACUCUGGUCUAAUGAAGUGGAUAUGCCACUGAUGUGACACGAGCCAGGAUGCUCUGUCUCUUGAAUCAUAAUUUCUUCAUCAAUUUGAAAACAAUUUCCACUCUCAUACCAUCAACUGCUUAGACGAACUGCUAUGAACUAUUUGGAAAUCAUCAAAAGAAGAGAGUAUUACAUUGUUGAAUCUAUCGGUUCAGUAGUUGCAGACAACUGAGAAUUGAGCUCUAUUUUUUGAGGCAAAAAUGCAGUCCCUUAAGAGAACCCAGGGUUGCAAGGAUCACAGUCUAAAAGGUGCCGCACUGGAGACCCUGCCUGCUUCACGCAGGGUCGACAUCAAUGCAUUUCUAAACCUCACGCUGAUGCUUCUUUGUUGACACCUAUAGCAUUAAGUAUGCUCACAAUACUCACCGCAGUCGCAGAGCACCACCAACAAGAGAUUUGAAAAGUCUUUCAACAUUUGUUUCAUUCUGAUCAGCAAAAUCCCAGGUCUUUGGUCUCCUCAUGUCCUUUCUCGCAUCCAAAUUGUGAAUUCUUUUUUCAAAAACACCUGAAACCAGAACCUCAAAAAACACAUGGCUCUGUUAAAUGUGAUUCAUAAAAUAGUAAUCAUGAAAUGACAAAACCAUUCUAAGAAGUCAAAUUUCCUAGUUGAUACUGAAAACAAAAUAAGGAGGACACUAAUUUUUCCCAGGUAAAUGAUCUGUAAUUCUGCAUGUCCCUUUUGUUCCGUGAUAGCUCACCUGUUAAGAACAUUCAGGUAUGCCCAACACCAAGAUUGUCUUUGCGAAACAGAAAGUCUUUCUCUUUAUAGCACAUCCUUACAUGGAGAGUUUGCUAUUAUUUGCUUAAUUUCAUCAAAGCCAAUAGCCAAUCUAAAUGAUACAUCUGCUAGUCAUUUCACAAUGAUUAAUAUACUAAAUUUUUGCCAAAGUUUCAUUGCACUGUGUAGACCUGCCUUGCUUCCACAAAUGGGCUUACCAACACUGUCUCUCUUACACAAUUGGUGUGUUAGUAGGAUUGCUUCAUUUCUUAAUGCCUAGGAGCUCCAUCAAAACUAUCAGACCUUUAGAAAAGAUACCCAGGGUAUUACAAUUAAAUGAGAACUCCCUGUGACCCUGAGUCCCUUGUUUAGGGCACUGUAAAGAGAAAACACAAAUAACAAUUAUCAUCUUCUGUCAGUCUUCCAAUACUUGCCGCUGCUGGUAUCCGUCAGGAGACAGACGAUUUCAUGCGGCAAUCUUCCCAAAGCACCUAGGAGGGCAGGAAAGACCCUGCUGGCCUGUGGUUCAAAUGACUUGUGGAAGGAGGCACUUUGAUAUAAACAGACUAUUAGGUGAUAGAAUAAGAUGUAGGGCAUUUAAGUGCCACUUUUUCAUACCAAAGUCUAGUAAACUAUGGGCUACUAAACAUAACCAAAUGUAUAUUUUCUUAAUGUUUACAUUCCCAUUAUGCACAGCUAAUAUAUUUUUACUAAGCAUAUUAUAUUCCAAUAUAUGUAUGUUACAUCCCUUUAGAUAAGACAGAAAUUAAUGGAAUGUAAAGAAUUGAUGGAAAUAAUAAAAAUUCAAUGGAAAGAGAACUGGUGUGUCUCCACGAGCUUUUUUUUUCCUUUUGAGGAAGAUUAGCCCUGAGCUAACAUCAGCUGCCACCAUCUUCCUCUAUUUUAUAUGUGGGACGCCUGCCACAGCAUGGCUUAGCAAGUGCUGCGUAGGUCCACACCUGGGCUCUGGGCCCUCGAACCCCAGGCCGCUGAAGCAGAAUGUGGGAAUUUAACCGUUGCGCCACAGGGCUGGCCCAGGAGGUUCCUUUCAGUAGAAAUUAGCUGAACAAAGGAAAUACUGGACUUCCUCAAAGGGAAGCAGAGAUUUGAAGUGUAAUUAUGCAGAUGAUUAGAGCUCCCUCCCCUCCCUAACAAAAAAAGGGAAAUUCAGUUUUGCUGGAAUUAAGCAUAGAUUGGACCUAAUCUUUCCCUUGAGCGGGGAUGGGAAACUUGGCCAAAGACAGCAGGUGAGCAUCAUUGGAUCUCCUGGGCAAGUGUGGGUGCUGAGGGCACUUUAAAACUUCCUUUAAGUCACUGAUCCUCAGUAACCAAAGAAAGGAGGAGCAAGGCUGGCCCUGUGGCUGAGGGUUAAGUUUUCGAGCUCUGCUUCAGCGGCCCAGGGUUUCUCUGGUUCGGAUCCUGGGGCAGGACAUGGCACCACUGUCAGGCCAUGCUGAGGCGGCGUCCCACAUGCCACAACUAGAAGGACCCACAACUAAAUAUACAACCAUGUACUGGGGAGACUUGGGGAGAAAAAGCAGAAAAAAAAAAGAUAAAAAAAAAAAGAAAGGAGGAGCAAGUGAUCUGUAGCUCCCAAAAGUUGAACUUGCUUCUCCCAAACUGCUUGCUUCCCCUGACAAUCAUUUCUUAAAGAAGCUCCUAAUCACAACUGAUUUUGCAAUUAUAACACAUUUUCCUUCUUUGAAAAUGACCAGUAAAACACAGAAUUGUGUGAUAAUCUACAUUUAGAGCUGAAUGGAAAUGGAAUUAUAAAAUACACCAGCCUACCUGAAAAUCAUAAUAAGGAUGUUUUUAAAAAUGUUCUCACUUUUGAAAAUAAAUGCUCAAUUUUUACCAGCUCAACCAUUAAUUUGAAGAUAUUAACAGAACACCCCAGAAUGGAAUGGAAGGCUGGAUAAAAAGCACUACACUUUUUAAAGAAGAUAGCAUGCUUCUUUAAUUUUCCUUUUUUUACACCUUGCUUGCUUUUCUUCCAACGUGUUCCCAAUACACUACUGGCUACUUAUGUUUGGCUUGAGAAUCAUUUUGAGAAAAGAAGAACUUAGGUGUAUUUCAUACACAUUUUAAGAUACUUCUAUAUAGCAUUCACAUACAAAAACGUUUACAGACAAAUUUUAAAUGUAUCUGUUGUGAAUAUUCUCAAUGGCUAACAGCAUCAUGCCAAGCUCAGAUCCCAUGUUUUUGCUGAAACCAGCUAAGAGAAACCCCUACAGGGUCUUCAUAGCUGCCGAAAAAGAAAAUAAAUUACGCUAAAGUCCAUGGGACCAAUGACUUACCAAACAAAAGGGAAAAUAAAAAUAAGCAAAGUGAUUUUUGACCCUUCUGACAAACACGCACACGCUCGUGUGUGUAUAUAUCUAAUAAUAAUAUUUAUUAGGAGGAAAUCCCUAAUUCCAAAGCAGCUCGUGUAAACAGGCUUUAUUUAUAUAUUCGAUCGGCUCUACCCUGGUCCCCCAGGCUGGACGCAGCUUCCCUAGAAGGUGGGCGCUCCCCACCUCCACUCAGCUUUCCAAAGGCCCGCAAGUCAAGUUCAUACUUGGAAAUCCAGCCCUGCCCGCGUCGCCAGCACAAAGCCCUCUUAAAAUAAGGACUGUUCUGAAAUGCUUAUAUCUCAGAGAGGAUUUCUUUUUAGAAAGACCCAAACUUGUUCUGAAACGCUUAGCAUCCCAACUGGGACUCAACACCCCGCUACCGUCAGCCUCAGCCCCUCGGCCACACCUGCGCCAGGGGAGAGCCGCGCUCGCGUUGAAGCCAGGACUCCGAGAGGCGGAGAGGCACACUUUUCCAAGCGCGUUCCUCAGCGGCAGAGGCUGAGCACUAAGAAGCGAAGGCAGGGGACCGGGAGCGUCCAGGGAACGGGAGUGUCCACCUGUGAUUUCAGGCUGCGGGGAGGGAAGGGGCGGCCGGAUCCGGGCGCACUGCCGGGCCCCGGCGGAGCCACCGGGAGCCCUCGCGGCUCAGCAGCGCCCGCCGGGUCGCGGAAGGCUCUUCUUACCUCUCGGGACUGGUGGGCGCAGCAGCCCGGGCCGGGGCGAGCGAGGCGACGAGAAGGGUGGCAGGAAGGAGGCCUCAGGGGCCGCGAGGCAGGGCGUCGAGCAUCCCGCGUCCCAGGACUGCGCGCCCUGGACAGCAGCGCCGGGUUCCCGCAGCCCCGCCCGGGCCCGCCCCGAAGGCGCGAGGAGGGCGGCACCCGGAGGGCCGCACCCGGAGGGCGGGGGACCUUGGCGAGCUGCCACGUCUGCCCCCGCCCUCUCUGGGCUGCGCAUCCUUUCCUGCCCGCGCCGGGCGAGCGCGCUGCUGGACGGAAACCCGGCAGGAAACGCUCCUGGCUGGCCAGGGCCUGCGGGAAGCGGGUGCGGAGCCCCGAGCGCGCACACACCCGCACCUCAGGCUGGACCUGAAUUUUAAGGACGAGCCAGCAGUCUCCCACCAGUUCAAAUUCAGUCACUUCCCCAGCGUCAUUUUCUUAAUGGGGUAACACAAAAGUCAGUCGUUGAAGUGCAUAACUGGUGGGUUUGUAAACUUGGUUUCCCAAAUGUCAUCGAAGAGUUUCAAAAGGAAGCAAUUCAGGUAAAGUGCAUCUUCGUUUUCUUAGCAGCCAGAAAUGGUUGUUCAAUAAAUCAAAAAGAACAUUUAAAAACUCUAAUCCGCAAGUGUUAAAGUUGUCUUCUUAAAAGAACACAAGAGGAUGGAGUUCACCUUAAGAGCUGUCAUUUUCGAGUCCACUGUGAAGUGCAAUACCUUCACCAUUUGCUUUUCUUUUACACAAAAUAACCACUUGACAGACAAAACUAACGUGUGGUAGUAGAAAUCAGAGCACGGUGGUGGCCUCUGGGGAGCAGGUGAUGGGAAAGAGGCACCAAGGACCUCUUGGGAAGACAGAUAUCUUCUAUUGUUUGGUGUGCGAUUUACAUGGAUUUUUUAUGCAUUUGUCAAAACUCAUCCAACUUAAGAUCUGUGCAUUUCACUGUGUAAAUUUUACCUCCAUUUUUUUAGUUUUAAAGAUUUUUAUUUUUCCUUUUUCUCCCCAAAGCCCCCAGUACAUAGUUGUGUAUUUUUAGUUGUGGUCCUUCUAGUUGUGGCAUGUGGGACGCUGCCUCAGCGUGGCUUGAUGAGCGGUGCCAUGUCCGUGCCCAGGAUUCAAACUGGCGAAACCCUGGGCCACCGAAGCAGAGUGCACGAACUUAACCACUCUGCCACGGGGCCAGCCCCUACCUCAAUUUUUAAAACAAAAAAAUACAGCAUUUGCAGGUCUUUGAAUCUAACUUAAUCUUUUAAAAGAUAGCACAAUUAUUCAAUUAUCAGUUUACCAGAGGUACUAAACUUGCUAAGUAUUUAUCUUGUCAAAUAACUAAUUCUAGCAGUAUGCAUUUAAUCUACCCAAAGUUUCAAAAGAGGCUUUAAAGUCAUUAUCCACUUUCACUACCAACAGAACUAUCUAGUCCAAUAUCCAUUCAUCAGCUCAAAUUGGGAUUCCUUUUCAAAUGCCACAGUCCCUGGCAUUUUCAGUUUUAAAAGCAAAAGCUCAAUGCAAAGAGUGGGCUUUGGAGUUAGAUACAGCUGAGAUUAAUUCCAGCCCUGCCUCUGUAACCUUGGGCAAAUUACUUAAUCCCUCCUUUCCUUCACUAUAAAAGGCAUAUAAUAAUGGUUAUAUUGAAGUUUUCUGGUGACUGGGUGAAACAGUCAGAAAGCAACUUGCUCUGCGUUAAUCUUUCAAAGACACUCUCUCCCCAGGACCUCAAUCCAGGUACAAGUGGCUGGUUAACGUGCUUGGUCAUUUCUUAAAUAACAGCUUUGGUCAUUGUUGCCUUCAUUAGAAUUCUCACCAAACUGUAUUACUGUCUUUAUUGGACAGUUAAAACAGUUUAAUCUUUUCUAAAAGAAGGCACAUAGACUUGAAGGGAAAAAAAGCUUUCAAAAGGACAGCGGUAUGUUCUUGUCAGUAUUGAACUAAAGCUGGCUGUCUAGAUAUCCUGAAUUCUCUUUAUGGGUCAGUGACUGGUCUAAUGAUCUUGUGCAAAUUGUGUGAAAAUUGUUCACUAUCUCAAUAACAUCCUUUAUACAAAUGGAGAGAUCUUGUAUUUCCCUAGAUAAUACCCUGAGAGAAAAGCUUUAACUGACUCCUGAUUAUCAGGGCACAAGGAAGGACACGAAUUACCCAGUUUUCACACUGUAAUAACAAGAUCUUACAUGUGUGUUAACCUGACUUUUCUGGAGUGCUUCCCACAUCAUGGAUGUGGCCUGUGUCAUGGAAUUUGAAUAAGAUAGUGUAUCUCAGACAGGCUGAGCCCUGACAAGUCUGGUUGAGAAGCCCCUUGGGAAGAAGGGUAAAGGACUGAUUUAGGUUUGUGAGUCAACUCUGGCACAUAUAAUCCAAAAUCGCUCCAUUCAGUUAGUACUUAACCAGGAUCUACCUUGUACAAUCACUGACUUAGGAGUGGGAAUUCAAAAGUUGUGUCAUAUGAAAGUCCUUGAACUCAAAGAAAUCCAAUUUCUCUAUUUUAUUACGGCAUCAAGACAACAAAUAGAGAGCAAGAUAAAACACAGUCAAGUAUAUGAGACGGACAGUAACUCUUAGGGAGUUUAGAAAUAGAGCUGUGUACUGGAAACAGAUUUUUCUAGAGCAGGUGGGAUUGAGCAAAGCAUGAUUUUGAUUAGUGGGGGUAGGGGUGUGAGUGGGAAGAAGGAACGAUGGGAAGUCUGGACAGACAAGGGGAAGCGUCCCAGCAACAGGAAGAGGCACACCUCACGCUGUUCCCGUGACCCAAUGCCUGCCACCUACUGACCAUCUCUUGGUCCUCGUAGUCUAGUUUACCAAGCUCUUCCCUCCCACGGGCCUUCCCAGGUCCCUCCCUCAAAACGAAAAGCUCCUUCCUUGUCUUCCACAGCGUGGUACCUGUGCCCUUUCAUGGCAUGGACUUCCUUCCAUCUUCAAUUAAGGUUGCUCACAUGUCUCUUUGCCCAACGGGCACCCUCUUAAGGGCAGGGGCUGUAUCUUAUUCACUUUUGUAUCCCCACCAAUGGCCCACAAAGCUCCUCACACAAAUUCAGUAUGUAUUAAAAAAAAUGUGUUUUAAUUGAAGUGAAUGGGAGAUAAAAAGUAGGAUAAAGUGGAGCCAAAUUAUAAAUAGAUAUAUACACCGGAGUUAAUUAAUUCAAUAACUAUUUAUUGAGUCAUACUGUGUGCCAGGCCCUGUUCUGGCCUCUGGGGAUCUAUCCAUGAACAAACCAGGAAACAUCUCUGCCCUGUGAGCUUACACUCUAGAAAAUGGAGGAUCGCAAUAAAUUUACAUAAAUUCAACCAUACUAUUCAGGAAAAAAAAGGAUCCAUAUUUAAAUAGUUUAUUGGUGCUGUAAAAGUCUACUGUUGAUAUGUAGUUUGUAUUAUAUAUUGUACUUACUAUAUUCAUAAACUAUUCAUCCUCAUGUAUCACACUACAGGGAAUCUAAUAUAGAGAACUUUAUUGGCAGUUUAAGAGAUUCUCAAGGAUCAUUUUGAGCAUGCUCGAUUUCAUCCUUAGGCAGUCUUUAGCACAGUCUUUGAAACCUAACCACCUUAUAAGUUGUGACUCUACUGAAACAAAAUGAAAACUCUGAGAUUGUUGGGCAAAGAAGAACCAGUUUAAGUAUUUGAGCAUGAGAAUGCUGACAAUCACGUCUGGUCAGAUUUGUCUGGUAACAGGGAAUGAGAGACAGUACAUUCACAUAACACACAGGUCAAUCAACAGUGGAAUUCACAUCAGGAAUUAGAAGAAAACAGUUCAUGAGCCAUUUCCCAUUCUUUUAAAACUAAAAUAGUAAGAGCUUGAGGUCAUAAAUAUUUAUAAUCAACUCUUGAUUAUAAAAUCUAAACAAAAAAUUGUAACAUACUGGCUUAUUCUAACUAAAGGUUUAUCAUUUUCAUAUAUUUUUCAAAAAGUAUUUAAAAAGAACACCAAGAAACAUCGUUUUUAAAUUUUGCAAAAACUUUACUCUAUAUACAUUAAUUCCAAUCAUUUAAUCCUGAAAGCAAUCUUCACUUGUACAAUGUAAAAAAACUUUUGACAGUAUGUGACUAGAAAUAUCCCAUUACCAUAAAGCUACAAACAGAUUUAUGCUCCUAAGAGCAAAGUUAGGAAAGCAAAAAUAAUAACCACACCAGUGAUAAGCGGCAAGACAGAACUUUUUUGCACUUAGGGCCUGAUUGGCUCUAUUUAAACAAAACCUCUACCAACAGAGGACCAAAAUAACACCUUAUUUGGCAAAAAAAAAAAGAUAAAAAUAUACAUACAGAGGUCUGGAAACAGUGGAGAAUGCCCACUUAAAAAAUUAAACAAUGAAAUUAUUCAUAUUUGUUUUUUAGUUAAUGUGACUUUGCAAAAUAUAUUCAUAUGUCACUUUUCUUCUUUAGUUCGCCUUAUACAAUUCAGGUUGCGCCAUGUUUGUUAAUGUUAUCACACUACUGUAAAUCAAUAUGGUGAACAAUGGGAGUUUGCUGUAAUGAAUCCGAACCAUGAGAGCUAGAUCCAGGAGCCCAAACAACCUUAGUUGCAACUCAUUCCAAGCGGUGAAACAGAUUAUUUAUCUUUGUAAUUUUUACAAGCCGUAGCCAGAUAUCAUGUGUGUAUGUGUGCGUGCAUGUGCACGUGCAAGUAUGCCAGAGCAGUGAGAGAGAGUACAACUCAGAAGGGAGUGACAUAAACAGGCUUACACAAGGACCCAAAAGAUUUGGGCAGCCGACACUGAAUUUCCCCAAAACAAACCUGAAGCUGAGCAAUGGGGGGAAUUCGGGGAUCUGUCAUCACAAUAUAGAAUCAGUGACAGAUUUGGAGAACAAAGACUAAGUAAGGCAGGAUGCCUCAGCCACAACAUUCCCAUGACACUGGAGGACACAAAGCAGUGACAGCCACUCUUCAGGCAGGGAUCAGGGACAGACUCUGCCUGCACUUGGAGGGAUUCCCUGGG